CUAAUAUCACGUCGAUGGUCUAUAAAUGCGAAUAUUAAAAACAAAAAAUAUUUGAUCUUACUGAAUAAGCUCUUCAAUAUAUUGAGAAUUUUUGGUUAUUUGUUGGAAGUGUUGGUACUGAUGAUGAUUUAAGGUCUGGGUAACUUUUAUAAUUGGCGUUCUGCAAAUAUCUUCUUUGGUUUGAUGUCGCAGUUUGCGAUGAUUGAAUGCUUUGUAUAUGAUGGCAUGUGCUUCGGGGAACCUCCAGAGAGAGUAGCUAAUAAUUCGAUAGUAGAUUAAAUAGUAAUAGUAGGUAUUAAAUGAUUUUGAUUUCUUUAUUACUUCAUUAAAUUUAAUCCAAGCUUCCAAGGAGUAGUUAUUUGUCAGCCUAGGCG